GCAGGGGUGGCAGAGCUUGGCCAAAUGCGUGGGGUUUAGGACCCCAUCCCUUAGGGGUUCGAGGGUUCAAAUCCCUCCCCCUGCA
rnacentral:tRNA from 1 species